UCUCCACCUCCCUCCAGCCCCACUGCCUCGUUCCCUCCUCCCUCUCCCUCUGGAGCGUCCUUCCAGCACGGGGGACCAGGAGCUCCACCGUCAUCUUCAGCAUAUGCGCUGCCUCCUGGAGCAACAGAUGCCUGAGAACUUUACGCCUCCUGUUCCCAUCACAUCACCGAUCAUGAACCCCUUGGGUGACCCCCAGUCACAGAUGCUGCAGCAACAGCCUUCAGCUCCAGGACCACUAUCAAGCCAAGCUUCCUUCCCGCAGCCACACCUUCCAGGUGGCCAGCCCUUCCACGGCAUACAGCAACCCCUCAGUCAACCAGGCAUGCCUCCGUCUUUUUCAAAGCCCAGUAUUGAAGGUGCCCCUGGGGCUCCUAUUGGAAAUACCAUGCAGCAUGUGCAGUCUUUGCCAACAGAAAAAAUUACCAAGAAACCUAUUCCAGAUGAACACCUCAUUCUAAAGACCACAUCUGAGGAUCUUAUUCAGCGCUGCCUCUCUUCAGCCACAGAUCCUGUAUGUAUUUUUUAUUUUGCUUAAUUCAAAGAAUCCCUUAUGGAGCGCUUCUAUAAUGAUUGCUUAAAGUCUUACAAGAUGUAUUUUGAAAGUUUAUGCAAAAGUAGUA